rnacentral:lncRNA from 1 species
CCAGCCGAAAGCCGCACCACGUGUUGCCCAUUCCAAGAAAAAUAAACUAAAUUAGCACGAUGGCUAAUAGAAAACGCAACAAAAUUUUGCUUAAUACAAUAGAGAAAGAUAUGUCAAAUAGCUGAAAGUUAUAUGGUAACUAAAAGAUGUGCGGAUCACGAGAAACGAGCAAUUCACUUUGACAGCCUGGCAGCUGUGACCCAAAGAGUCUCACUUUGAGACUUCUUGGGACCAACCAGCAUGGGAAGUUUACGCGAAAACUGAUGUUUCUGACUGAAAACCGACGAAAGAAUGGUUUCCACACUUAUAAUGCAGAAAAACUGAUGUUUCUGACUGAAAACCGACGAAAGAAUGAUUUCCACACUUGUAAGUAUAAUGAUUGCUAAAGAUUUAUGAUUUUUUUUUGUGAUGAAAUCGUUAGAUAGGGACGUCUGAUAUCUGUGACUGAUUUAUCUCGAUAGUAGAUCUGAUUUUUAAAAUAUUGUUAGCUUGCGUGAUUUUAUGUUCAACAACACUACAAUAACUCUUUCUUUUUAGAUAAUGCUGAAACCCGAAUUUCUCUGACAGAAACCCUACGUAAGAAGGAUUUCCACACUUGGCUCCCUUGCAUGAUGCCAGAAAAGUGGACGUAAAAAAUCUAAUAAAAUUAUAUUUAUAGAAA